CCUACGGGGGGCAGCAGUGGGGAAUAUUGCACAAUGGGGGAAACCCUGAUGCAGCGACGCCGCGUGAGUGAAGAAGUACCUCGGUACGUAAAGCUCUAUCAGCAGGGAAGAUAAUGACGGUACCUGUCCAAGAAGCCCCGGCCAAAUACGUGCCAGCAGCCGCGGUAAUACGUAGGGGGCAAGCGUUAUCCGGAUUUACCGGGGGUAAAGGGAGCGUAGACGGCUGCACAAGUCUGGAGUGAAAGCCCGGGGCUUAACCCCGGAACUGCUUUUGAAACUGGGCGGCUGGAGUGCAGGAGGGGGAGGCGGAAUUCCUAGUGUAGCGGUGAAAUGCGUAGAUAUUAGGAGGAACACCGGUGGCGAAGGCGGCUUACUGGACUGUAACUGACGUUGAGGCUCGAAAGCGUGGGGAGCAAACAGGAUUAGAUACCCGUGUAGUC
rnacentral:rRNA from 1 species